UGUUCUUUUUCAAUUUUCUGUCUUAGUUGCUUAGUGCUUCUUCCAAAGCACACAAAUCCUCUGAAAACAUUCUGGAGAAGGCGUCGGGUACUACAUUAUCUUGACCUCGUCGGUGACUCACUUCAAACUUAUAACCUUGCAGCUUCAUGGCCCAUCUCGCGAGUCUUCCUUUCAAAUCUGAUUAUCGCAUCAACCAAACUAAACUGGCGUGGUCGGUUAUGACUUCGAAUUCCUGUAGUUCCAUAUAGCAGCGGAAUUUUUCAAUUGCUUCCACAGCAGCCAAGCACUCGCGUUCUGUUACGCUAUAGUUUCGUUGAGCUGUUGUUAACUUCUUCGACAUAAAUGCUAUAGGCUUCUAGCUCCUUCUUCGUCCAAUUGUACCAACAUUGCUCCGAUGCCAUAGUUGCUUGCAUCACAAUGCACAAAGAAUUUCUUAUUGAAGUCUGGAUUGAUCAAGAUCGGUGCUGAGUUAGCAAUUGGGUUAUCGGAAAUGUAAUAUCAGAAAAAUUAUCAAUGAAUCUACGAUACCAACCAACAACACCUAAGAAACCUCUGGGUCUGUCUGGUCAUAAUGGUGUGAUAUCAAAUCUGAUCUUGGGGUUGGAACGAGAUGCUCAUCGUGGUUGCUAGAUCGCCCAACUGAAUUAUUUAAAUUCAAAUUUCCCAAUCUCUGAUCAAUUAAAUAUUCCAUUCUCCAUAAUUAACA